rnacentral:rRNA from 1 species
AUAAUGGAGAGUUUGAUCCUGGCUCAGGACGAACGCUGACGGCGUGGAUUAGGCAUGCAAGUCGAACGAGAAAUUCCCGAUUCGUCGGGAAGAGUACAGUGGCGAAUGGGUGAGUAACGGGUAGGUAUCUACCCAGCAGAUUGGGAUAGCCUCAGGAAACUGAGGGUAAUACCGAAUAAGCCCCGAUUAUCGGGGGAAAGAUGGCCUCUGUUUACAAGCUGUCACUGUUGGAUGAGCCUGCUUCAUGUUAGCUUGUUGGUGAGGUAAAGGCUCACCAAGGCAAUGAUGUGUAGCCGGCCUUAACGGGUGUUCGGCCACACUGGGAUUGAGAUACGGCCCAGACUCCUACGGGAGGCAGCAGUCGAGAAUCGUCUACAAUGGACGCAAGUCUGAUAGUGCGACGCCGUGUGUGCGAAGAAGCCCUUCGGGGUGUAAAGUACUUUUUUGUGAGAUAAAGCUUUGGUAGAUUAAUAGUUUGUCAGAGUUGAUAUUAUCACAAGAAUAAGCUCUGGCUAACUCCGUGCCAGCAGCCGCGGUAAUACGGAGAGAGCAAGCGUUGUCCGGAUUUACUAGGCAUAAAGGGCUCGUAGGUGGCUAAUUAAGUUAUAUGUUAAAUUCCACGGCUUAACUGUGGACCAGCAUAUAAUACUGGUUAGCUUGAGUACUGUAGAAGAAGGCGGAAUUCCUGGAGUAGCGGUGGAAUGCACAGAUAUCAGGAAGAACACCAAAAGCGAAGGCAGCCUUCUAGGCAGUUACUGACACUCAGGAGCGAAGGUGUGGGGAGCAAACAGGAUUAGAUAUCCUGGUAGUCCACACAGUCAACGAUGAUCACUAGGUUUUGGUGGGAUUAAAAUCAUCAGAGCUAAAGCAAAUGCAUUAAGUGAUCCGCCUGGGGAGUACGUCCGCAAGGAUGAAACUCAAAGGAAUUGACGGGGACCCGCACAAGCGGUGGAGCAUGUUCUUUAAUUCGAUGCAACACGAAGAACCUUACCUGGGUUUGACAUCCGUGGAAUCGCUAUGAAAGUAGCGAGUGCUCACUUUGUGAGAACCACGUGACAGGUGCUGCAUGGCUGUCGUCAGUUCGUGUCGUAAGAUGUUGGGUUAAGUCCCGUAACGAACGCAACCCCUGUCUUUAGUUGCCAGCAUUAAGUUGGGGACUCUAGAGAGACUGCCAAGGUGACAACUUGGAGGAAGGUGGGGAUGACGUCAAGUCCAUAUGGUCCUUACAUCCAGGGCGAGAAACGUGCUACAAUGGUUGGUACAAUGGGGAGCGAGAUCGCAAGAUUUAGCAAAUCCUCAAAACCAAUCUCAGUUCGGAUUGGAGUCUGCAACCCGACUCCAUGAAGUUGGAAUCGCUAGUAAUCGCGGAUCAGCAUGCCGCGGUGAAUACGUAUCCGGGUCUUGUACACACCGCCCGUCAAGUCAACUGAGUUGUUCUUACCCGAAGUAGGUGAGCGAAUUCUCACGAAUAGCAGCUUGCGAAGGUAAGAGCGGCAAGGGGGACUAAGUCGUAACAAGGUAGCCGUAUCGGAAGGUGCGGCUGGAUCACCUCCUUU